rnacentral:rRNA from 1 species
CAUGGGGGAAACCCUGAUGCAGCCAUGCCGCGGUGGUGUGAAGAAGGCCUUCGGGUUGUAAAGCACUUUCAGCGACGAGGAAGGGUGUUGUAUUAAUAGUGCAGCACAUUGACGUUAGUCGCAGAAGAAGCACCGGCUAACUCCGUGCCAGCAGCCGCGGUAAUACGA